UACGUAGGGUCCGAGCGUUGUCCGGAAUUACUGGGCGUAAAGAGCUCGUAGGUGGUUUGUCGCGUUGUUCGUGAAAACUCACAGCUUAACUGUGGGCGUGCGGGCGAUACGGGCAGACUUGAGUACUGCAGGGGAGACUGGAAUUCCUGGUGUAGCGGUGGAAUGCGCAGAUGUCAGGAGGAACACCGGUGGCGAAGGCGGGUCUCUGGGCCGAUGACUGACGCUGAGGAGCGAAAGCGUGGGGAGCAAACAGG
rnacentral:rRNA from 1 species